UGGAGGUCUUAUCAAAUGUUACAUUUGG
rnacentral:piRNA from 1 species